UAAGUCAAUUCCAAGAAUGAAGCCUGCUAGACUGGUGAAGCUGACAUAAGAAGGCCCAAAUAUUAAGAAAAUAUUUGAAAACUGUAGUGGGACCAGAGCCAGGGACAGCAAGCAUAGCCCAAUCUCCGCCUCUAGCAGCAUGAGACCCUGCAAAUUGGAAGGCAAGUUCUGAUUCCAUCUCUUUUUCAAUCUCUGCAGUAGCAGAGCACAAUAGGA